AACGAACGCUGGCGGCACGCCUAACACAUGCAAGUCGAACGCGACCUUACUCUUCGGAGUAAGAGAGAGUGGCGGACGGGUGAGUAACGCGUGGGAACCUGCCUUGCAGUAAGGGAUAACUUCGGGAAACCGAAGCUAAUACCGUAUACGCCCUUUUGGGGAAAGAUUUAUCGCUGUAAGAUGGGCCCGCGUUAGAUUAGGUAGUUGGUAGGGUAAUGGCCUACCAAGCCGAUGAUCUAUAGCUGGUUUGAGAGGAUGAUCAGCCACACUGGGACUGAGACACGGCCCAGACUCCUACGGGAGGCAGCAGUGGGGAAUAUUGGACAAUGGGGGCAACCCUGAUCCAGCGAUGCCGCGUGAGUGAAGAAGGCCUUCGGGUUGUAAAACUCUUUCACCUGUGAAGAUGAUGACUGUAACAGGAGAAGAAGCACCGGCUAACUCCG
rnacentral:rRNA from 1 species